rnacentral:rRNA from 1 species
ACGGAAUAGAUACCCGGGUAGUCCACGCCCUAAACGAUGUCUACUAGUUGUUGGUGGAGUAAAAUCCAUGAGUAAACGCAGCUAAACGCGUGAAGUAGACCGCCUGGGGAGUACGGUCGCAAGAUUAAAACUCAAAUGAAUUGACGGGGGCCCGCACAAGCGGUGGAUUAUGUGGAUUAAAUUCGAUGCAACGCGAAAAACCUUACCUGGCCUUGACAUGUAACGAACUUUCCAGAGAUGGAUUGGUGCUCGAAAGAGAACGUUAACACAGGUGCUGCAUGGCUGUCGUCAGCUCGUGUCGUGAGAUGUUGGGUUAAGUCCCGCAACGAGCGCAACCCUUGCCAUUAAUUGCCAUCAUUUAGUUGGGCACUUUAAUGGGACUGCCGGUGACAAACCGGAGGAAGGUGGGGAUGACGUCAAGUCCUCAUGGCCCUUAUGGCCAGGGCUUCACACGUAAUACAAUGGUCGGUACAGAGGGUUGCCAACCCGCGAGGGGUAGCCAAUCCCAGAAAGCCGAUCGUAGUCCGGAUUGUAGUCUGCAACUCGACUAC